GCCUCAGGAAUGCGUCAGCAGCUCACUGCCAGCAAGCAAGCUAGCAAAGCACAUCUGGGGAAGGUGCCAUGUAAACAUAACAGGUCUAUUCUUAUCUGAUCCCCUCCAGUGAAAUGCUUUUCCCAUUAUCGCUUCUCCUGUUCUUUCCCUAUAUGGAAGACUAUCAUACACGUUUAUUUGAACCAGGUCCAGCCCCUCCUACAUGAGGUGCUUUGCAAGCCAGUCCUCCUCCUCUUCUCCCUCCUACCAUCUCCCCUUCCUUCUCCUCCUCCUCCAUUCUUGGAGCUCCCCAAGGGCUUCCAUCCCCAAAAUGGCUGGGCCUGACACUGACUUGAAGAAAAAACCAGAAGAUGCAGGCGGAAAUGCAGAGGCUGCAGAGGGGGUGUGCUUCCUCCAUGGCACUCAUGGACCUGAAGAACGCUCUGCAGCUGGUACCAGUGGAGAUGAAGCAUCAGCAUGUCCUCAUCCCUCUCCCUCCAGCGAAGAAGGCUGAGGCAGCUCCCCUCAGCAAAUCAAGUGCCAGCUACCAAUUAGUACGGAGUGUGCGGGCGGGGAAAGUGAUGGAGAAGAGAAAGGAGGCCUGGAAAAUCACUGGGCUGCGGCGCACUGCCUCUGUCUUGCUUCCGCGAUUGCGCUCUACACACAUUUCUUAUUUCAUUUCAUUAAGAUGUAAUAUUUAUCUUUAUUUCAAUAAUAUUUAUCUUUAUUUCAU